AGUCGAAAUUUUCAAUUUUGUGAUGUUUGAUUUUGUGGGUCUAGUAUAAUUCGGGUAUGUAAUGCAAAAAUUGGUAUGAAUAAUGGUUGCUAUGGUUGCUAAAACAUCAAGAGAUGUUAAAUUUUGAAUAUGAGCAUGGAUUAGGCAAAACCCACUUGUAUGUUAAAAGAUGGUUAAAAAGUUGUGAAAUUCUACUUGCAAUUUAGAUAAAUGUUGAUGAUAUUAUGAUUAAUAGGUGAUUUAGAACAAUAUGCAUAUGGCUAGGGUGGCAAAUUGUGAAGUUGGGAUUUCUUAUGUGAAUCAAUGGGUGAACUAGUAUCAUCAUGUAGAAUAUGAAUCUUGCUUGAAUUUGAUGAAAAUGAAGAAUUAUAGUGAAACCCAUUUGUGCUAGUUGUAUGGUGGAAUCUAAUAAUUUUAUGUUAGUGAAAUUUAUGUGAAAUUGAAGUAUGAAUGUAUGUUGGUUGGAAUUCAUGUUGAAAUUGGUCAUGGUUGAAGAUGAUUAUGUGAAUUGGUUGAAUUCAUGUAUUAAGAGCUUGUACAAUGUGUUUAUAAUGUUGUAUGCACACCAAGCGUUUGAUGAAAUGCUUGAAUCAUUAGCUAAUGCACACAUACAUUCACGCAUGUGUAGUUUCAAUGUGGUUCAUGUUCUAUGUAAGAAUUUGUGAGAAUUAUUGUAUCAUAUGGUCUUUAACAUGUUUAUGAUGCUUAGCAUAAAUUGUGAACAUGAAUUGAUGAUUUAAAGUCGAGAUUUAGUUCAUAAUUCCAAAGAUUUACAAAGCUGAUUGGAAGUAAUUAUUGUUGCGCACCUGUUUUGAAAAAUUCGUAUAAAAUCAACCGUAGCUCGGUUUAAGGCAUAUGAUAUAUCGUUGAAAAGGUUGUUUCGCAUAUUACAUUUCAUAUUUGGUCAUAAGAGGCUGGUUAUGAGAUUUAGUGGGUCAAAACAGCAUGAAAAGUUAGUAAAUUCGUUUUGACAGCAAGCUGUUUGGAAGCAUUUCAGCUUCUGUGCUGAUUUUGUAAAAAUCAUAUAAAAUCAUAGGAAUGUCCGAUUGUUACGAUCUUUAUAUGCUUAGAAAGAUCUCUGAGUGUAGAUCAUUUCAUAUUUGAACAUGAAGAACUGAAUCAGAAGAUAAAUGGGUUAAAAUGUGUCGUGAACAGCUGCUGCGCAGAAAGUUGCUGCACAAAUUUUAGUAUAAAUAUUCAAUAAAAAUAGUUGUAUUGUUAUGCACACUUGUAUGAAUCAUGAACUACUGAUUUUAAUAAAUUAUUAGUAAGUUAUUUGAUUGUUUUAAGUGUCUAAAACACUUACCAACUAGUUUAUGCAUAUAAUUGCACCAACGGGUCGAAACGGGUUGUUGAUAGAAAAUAGUAGAAUGGAUGUGUAAAAACCAAGGUGUUAAGAAAUGGUAUGAAAUGUUUAACAUAUGAAGCAAGUUGCCUAACUUAGAAAAGGUUAUCAUUCUAAGUAUGGAAUUUUGAAAGAAUAACGAACAUGAUGUAAAUACAUAAUUAUGCAUGCUAGAAGCUCAUGUAUGACUGUUGUGAUGAUGGAAUGAUAAAUUGUUAGAUUGAUUAGCAUUGUAGUAUUAUGAUACAUGUUGAACUCGUUAAGCGAUUGACACGUGAAUAGAAGUGUGAUUAGUGAUGCGUAUGAUUAUGUAUACUAACUAUUGAAUGGAUGUAAUGGAAUGAGAUAAUAGGAACGUGUCAAGGAGAGGUCAAGCAUAGGAGGAUAACAGGUCAAGAUAAGGCAAGGUGACAAAUACACUUAUUGGAGUACUCGAGGUAAGUGAAUUUCGAUUCACUUUUUAGUAGGUUUAAUAGAUUUUAAUACUUAUGUUUACGAAACAUCAUGAAAGAACAUGUCAUAAUCAGAAGUACAAAGCCAAUAAUGCCUCAUUAUUGAAGAAAGUUGUAUUUAAGCCGAAAGUAAAUUGGUGGGUUUAAACGGGUCGAAUUUUAUGUGCAUAUGUUGCGUAAUGUAAUGAAAUUCGUUAUGGUUAAGACCUUGGGUAAGAAUUUUAGUCAUUAUGUAAGGGGAACAUUUCCCGGACCAUUAGGAACAAGUUUUAUAUGAUUCGGUUGUCGGUUAGUGAAUGAACGGAUUGUUUCGUGUUAGUGUAGGAAAUUUUAUAAGUAUAUGUGUAUAGGAAUCCAAAGGCCACGUGGGUUGAAUCAUAGAUUGUCUAUACUAUGUAAAGUUGUGAAUGUGACAUUCCGGCAUAAACCUACAUGUAAAAGAAGCUUGUGUAUAUAUUCGUGAUUAAUUGAUUGUGCGUAGGAAGGAACAUUGGCAUGUAUGAAGGUACGCAUAUAUAUAUAAGUGUAUAUAUAUAUAUGUAUGUAUGUAUGAUAAUAAGUACGUAGGUGUGAAUGUAUGUGUGAAUGAAUGUUCAAUGCUUAAGACAUAUGCAUGAACGUAUCAAAGUGUUCGAGUAUUUAUGGAUACUAAUGAUGUGCGUUGAGUUGGAAUGUAAUGUAGGUAUGGGAUCGUUGGCUUCAUGAAGAAAUGGAGCUGGAUUUGGAUAAGAGUAUUUAAGAAAGCGCUUGGACAAUUCCACGACUACUUUAUAGAAUGCUCUACGAAAUUUUAUUAUAUAGUUUAAUGUUGAAUGGUAUGUUAAUGACUAAUGGUUUGGUUGUACGUGGUGUCCACAGGUAUCGCUUGAGUUUUCUCUACAUUUAUUGAAGUGAAGCGGACUUAGUUCGAGUUGAGAGCAAGGAUUGUACGGGGUAGAAUGGUCACAUAGUGUAACUCAUAUAGGUUUUGAAGUAUUAAUGUUAUAAAACGUUAUAAAUCCGUUUUAAUGAAUAUAUGGCAUUUCGCAUUUGAACCUUCAUGUGUUUGAUAUGUCUAUUAAAGAACGAAAUUUUUGGGCUCUUGUUUUCCGCUGCGUCGUAUUUUAAGUUAUUACGCGUUAGUCUUACAGGGAAUUGUUCUUAUUACGAACGGGUCAUGCCCGAAUUUUGUUAAAUAAUAGUAUGAUAAUAUUACAUUUUGGAAUGUGUAAUUUGGGCGUAACAAGUUGGUAUCAGAGCCCUGGUUUGAGGGAAAUCAAGUAUGAGGAGGCAAAUACUUGAACUCAAACCUGUGUGCUCUUGUGACGAGGAACCCGUACAAUCCAAGACUCGAUCAAGAUCUAAAGGUAGAAGCAAAUGUAAGUAUGAAUUUAAGUAUGUUUAUGAAGAAACUAACAUUAUGUUGUGUGUAAGAUAAGCAUAGUUGUUUGGAUGAGGAUGAUCCACGACUGUGGUCUCGGACUGACACCAAGGCAUGUAAUAAGACCAUUGCCCAGGUACGUAAAUUUUGCAUAAGGGUGCAUGUAAUGCUAAAAGUUAUCGAGUGAAGGAAAAUUUUAAUGAAAUAUAAUAAUAUAAUGGAAACGAAGUUAUGAAAAUGUUACACGUGCCGAAACCUAAUUCUUCGGACAUAAGGUGACGAUUACACGGAGACACGAAACUAGUAUGUGGAUUGUGUACCUGGCCAAUACACAAGAAACAUAAGACGUUCGUGAGACCGUAAUGAUUGUUACAGGUAUGUCCGAUAGGAUUUGGUAGCGGCUGGGUGUGUGGGUGAAAUGGGUAGUAAGACUCUCGGGAGGUUGAGAGUACUAUGUAAGGGUGAAAGGUAUAAGUGAUAAGAAUGAAAUAUUGAGUCCAUAAGAAAGUAUGGAUUGACAAUGUAUGAAUGCAAUGUUUGAAUUCGCGAGACGGAUUCAAGGAUGAAAGAUAUGAAUGCAAUGCUUGAGUCCGCGAGACGGAUUCAAGGAUGAAAGAUAUGAAUGCAAUGCUUGAGUCCGCGAGACGGAUUCAAGGAUGAAAGAUGUGAAUGCAAUGCUUGAAUCCGCGAAACGGAUUCAAAGAAUGAAAGAUACGAAUGAUGCAAAUCCCUUGCGGAUUUGGUUAUGCUAAAGAAGGUUAUGAUAAGCUAUGCAAAUCGACCGGUUCAAGUUGAACAAGUCGAGUAAGGAUAGGGUACCAUCCGUUUAGAACGGGUGGUCGUGAAUGCAAUAAUAAAUGUAUGAAGCUCAACCCGUUAUACGGAUAGAACGGAAUAUUUAUGUUGAACACAAUUAACUCGAUUUUUACUGAGGCGUAAGUGGUAUGCUUGAAUCUCAUUAUGAGAAUAUAUGCCAUUACCCAUUUAAUUAGAUACUUGAAUGCGUAAAAGAAAUGAAAGUAUAUAAGCGAAUGGAACUAAAAUGUUGGUGUUGUAAGCGAAAUAAGUAUUAUGACUAACCUUUAAAACGGGAAGGGUAAAAAUUUGCAAGAAAACACUGGAACAGUGAAGCUAUGAGGUCGUAAGCAUGUUUGAAUUGAAAAAGAGUGCAAACGUGUACUUCGAUACGCAUGUAUAUAAUAAGAAAUAAGUGGCAGUUGACCUUGAAAAGUCAAACUACAGAAGCUGAGGAAUAAUUUGGUUUCAAACCAAGGGAGUGCUAGAGAAGAAAGGAAAUGUGUCGUGUAGUACACCAAAUGAGUUAAAGAAUUACGAAAUAAUGAUUAUGUGUUUACCCGUCAAGAACGGGUCAAACAAUAAGAAUGAUAUAUAUAUUAAGAAAUGGUCAUGUAUUGACCCGUUAUGAAUAGGUUUAACACACUAGUGCUUUAAAAAGAAUCUUGGAAGUAGUAAUAUGUAAACAAGGAGAAGUAAUAAACAUCAUGUUUAAAUGAACUUGAAUGAAAUGUGAUAAUCCCCAAUCUUAUAAUGAGUAUGGCAGAUAUCAUAAUGUGAUAAACCUAUCAAGGUCAGUGGAAGAAUGUUCAUAAGCGAAAGCUUGUCACACGGAUGAAUGAGGUCAAUACGAAACAUGGUAUGGAUGGUGACGAAGAGGACCGACUCGUUGCUGCAUGUUCAAGUACUGCACCAAGGUAGUAAGGUUAGCAAAUUAUUUAAUAUAUGAAUGUACGAUGCUCGAAUCCCUCAAACCUACGCUCUCGUGAAAGUGUGUUCGUUUCUAAGCGCCACACAAGUAAGUGAUUUAAGGAUUUCGAGCUAUGCUUUUAGAUGAAAACGGAAAUGGGUUAUGGAUAAAUUACUAUUAUAACCUGGGUUGGGACGUUAUGGAUUGUUAUGGAAGGUUUCGGGACUGCCCGAGACCAUUUCAGGUUGGAAAAAGGACCCGGGAACAAAAAAAAAAAAAAUUUGGUCAAACAGCGUCUGCACACCAGAGAGCCCGUCGGCGACGGCCUUUAUGCCGUCGGCGACGGCACCCCUCCACCCGACGCGCUAACUGUCUGUCUACGGGCAAUGUUCAGCGACGGGACCUUCCCGAGCCCGUCGGCGACGCACCAUGUGCCGUCGGCGACGGGUCCCCCUUAUCUGCUUAUGCUGAAAUUGUUUGUUUAUUAGGCUAAGGUCCUUAAUUCAGUUCUAGCAUUCAUUAAACAUUAGGAACACCCCAAGUUGAUUAUGAAGCUAAGAAAUUCAAGACAACUAUCAUGUUUUAAUGAUGUAUGUGCGGGAAGUUAUGUAUGCGAAUGAAUGAAAUAAGUAACACGUCUAGAAGGUUUGUAAAGAAAGAUUGGAUGAGUUUAUGAAAAUUUUACACUAUCAUUGAAAAAGUACCUCCAUAUGAAUAGGUAUGAUAUGUUUAAUAUGUACGAAUGAACGAGAUUGUAUGCGGAAAUGAAUAAAUUAAUGAUGACUAGGGAUUGGUUUUCGCAAGGAAGUUUGAAAUCUUGAUAAGUAUGAAUAAUAUAUCAGGAUGGUGGUUUCAAAUUAUGGACUAUGGGAUCUGUGAUUAGGCAAAUUCUCACAACAUGCUUAUGUAAGUCGUCCAAUGUAACUUGAAUGAGUGAGGGAACGAAGAAUAAAACUAGACGGGUUGUAGAAGAAAAGAAAGAGGUUUCGGGGACGAAACCUUCUUUAAGAGGGGUAGAUUUGUAACACCUCAAAACUCGAAUUAUUAAAUUCGUAGGAAUGUCACCAUGUGUAAUUAAAUAAAAUACAAUAACUAAGUUAUUAAACUUAGUUAAAUGCCUAAUAAACAAGUUAAGGAAUGAAACUUGUGGCAACUAUAAUGGAAUGGUAAACUUGAGGGACUUAGAUUGCCAAAAAGGAAAUAUAUUUUAUUAAAACAAAAACAAAAAAAAAAAUCACACACACAGGGUGUGUGUCUGCGUACGAUCGCAGGAGAAGGGGGAAAAGGGGGUGUAAACCCUAACCACAAAAAAAUCAUCAAUUGAAAAGGAAAUCGCGGGUUGAUUGUGUGCAUGAACCAAGAAUGAUGAUCCCUUAAGCGUUUCUCACAUCAAAUAAUAGGAACGUGUCAAGGAGAGGUCAAGCAUAGGAGGAUAACGGGUCAAGAUAAGGCAAGGUGACAAAUACACUUAUUGGAGUACUCGAGGUAUGGGAUCGUUGGCUUCAUGAAGAAAUGGAGCUGGAUUUGGAUAAGAGUAUUUAAGAAAGCGCUUGGACAAUUCCACGACUACUUUAUAGAAUGCUCUACGAAAUUUUAUUAUAUAGUUUAAUGUUGAAUGGUAUGUUAAUGACUAAUGGUUUGGUUGUACGUGGUGUCCACAGGUAUCGCUUGGGUUUUCUCUACAUUUAUUGAAGUGAAGCGGACUUAGUUCGAGUUGAGAGCAAGGAUUGUACGGGGUAGAAUGGUCACAUAGUGUAACUCAUAUAGGUUUUGAAGUAUUAAUGUUAUAAAACGUUAUAAAUCCGUUUUAAUGAAUAUAUGGCAUUUCGCAUUUGAACCUUCAUGUGUUUGAUAUGUCUAUUAAAGAACGAAAUUUUUGGGC